rnacentral:rRNA from 1 species
CCGCCGGCGACCGGCGCACGGGUGAGUAACACGUAUGCAACCUGGCCGUGACAGAUGGAUAACCGGGAGAAAUCCCGCCUAAUACAACAUAAUGCCGGGAGGGGACAUCCCCUGCCGGCCAAAGGGGGCGACCCCGGUCACGGAUGGGCAUGCGGCGCAUUAGGUAGUUGGUGGGGCAACGGCCCACCAAGCCGACGAUGCGUAGGGGUUCAGAGAGGAAGGUCCCCCACAUUGGAACUGAGACACGGUCCAAACUCCUACGGAAGGCAGCAG